rnacentral:rRNA from 1 species
CCGAUGAGGUGGAAACGGACAGAGCUGGCGUAUCUGGUCUGCAUUCACCCGUUUGUUGCUGUACGUUGRGCUGCUAGCCUCCAGACUGGGGUUGGCUGUCCUUCUGUUCAGUGGCGAAUGGGGCAUUUGCAGGCGGAGUGCGCUGAGAUGCUCGGAGUAGCUGCGUGAGCUCGGUCUUGAGGCCAGCCUUUCGGGGUCUGGUACCCGGAUCGGGGGAGUGCUGUUUACUCUGGGUGAAUUGUGCAAUGGUUUCGGGUCCGKGUUGGCUCGAGCUGGGGGUCGGUGGCGGUCGCGUGCGACACGUACCAGCAACCAGUUCGGUCCAGCUCGGGCUCUCAGUUGUGCGUUCUCGGUGUAAAAGCCGGYYAUCUGUUCGACCCGUCUUGAAACACGGACCAAGGAGUUUAGCGUAUGCGCAAGUCAUUGGGUGUUCAAAACCCAAAGGCGCAAUGAAAGUGAAGGCUUCUUACGGAGCUGAUGUGUGAUCCCUGGCACUGCGGGUGUUGGGGCGCAACAUAGUCCCGUCUCGAUCGCAUGCGAUGGGGGCGGAGACAGAGCGUAUGCGCUGAGACCCGAAAGAUGGUGAACUAUUCCUGAGC